UACGGGGGGGAGCAAGCGUUGUUCGGAUUUACUGGGCGUAAAGGGCGCGUAGGCGGUGUGUCACGUCGGCCGUGAAAACCUGCAGCUUAACUGUGGGCGUGCGGUCGAUACGGGCAUCACUGGAGUUCGGCAGGGGGAGACUGGAAUUCCUGGUGUAGCGGUGAAAUGCGCAGAUAUCAGGAGGAACACCGGUGGCGAAGGCGGGUCUCUGGGCCGUAACUGACACUGAGGGACGAAAGCUAGGGGAGCGAACGGGG
rnacentral:rRNA from 1 species